GAGGAUGUAGCUCAGAUAAUAGAGCGCUCGCUUAGCAUGCGAGAAGUACGGGGAUCGAUACCCUGCAUCUCCA
rnacentral:tRNA from 1 species